ensembl:lncRNA
CUUUUUUUCUUUUCUUUUUUUUUUUUUUUUAAAUAAAAAAGCAAUUGACCGAAGCAUUUUCUUUUUUUAGGUAAAUAGCAAAAAUAAAAAUAAAAACCAACCCUGGCAUUUGCACAAAUAAUGCAAAUGGAGUGAUAUGGCCUUUAAGGAAGGGGUUAGUAGAAAGGAAGACGGAAGUGAAGAAAAUCCAGAGAAAAUGAUGUACUAAUUUCUUUCUUUUAAAAAAUUUCUACAUGUGCAAAAAAAAAUCAUGCUGUUUGAGGAAAACAAAGGGAAAUGAGUACAUAAAACUAAAAACAUAAAUACGUUUGGGUGACUGGUAAAAGUAGAAACCAACCUGGGUUACAAAAAGGAUUAUACAUUCAAGAUGCUCUUAAACCCAGUGGGAUAACUUAUGUUAAAACUGUGUUAAUAGUUACGUUAGAAAUCUCAAGUUUGUUUUUAAAUCUUCACAAUACAAGCAAAGCUGUUUUAAAAUAUACACUAUACAUAUUUCUCAUAGUCUCUUCAACCUCAUUAAUGCGCAUUAGGCUUUUUCAUAUACUAAAACAAGGGGGUUCUGAAAGCUAAUUUGCUUAUAGUAACCCAUCCAUUAUUUAAAUGGUUGUCUUAAGUUUUAAGUGGGCUAAAAAACUUUAGCAGAUUUACAUAAAUAGGAUUUAGCAACACAAGUGUUAAUUUAAAAAACUCUAAAGCAUUUACAAAUUAUCAGAUUGGAACAGUCCGGGGAAGUUAUGUGCAGUAUACUUUAAAUGUUAUUUACAUCCAACCAUUGCUUUUGUAAAAAUUUCCCUAAAAAAAAAAAAAAAAAAAAAAAAAGGUUUGGAGAAUUAACCUGUUCUAGCAGAGAAGGAUCGAAAAAGGAAAGGUAAAAUGGGAACAAAAUUAUCUUCUAAUAGAAACCCCACACACACAUCCUUCUCUUUUCUUGGAUUUUACUCAAUGAAACCACCUGCAACUCCUAACAGGCUCAUAUAUAAGGUGUCAAGGUGUGAUAAAAUACCUUUGCAGAUAAAUUACUGGCCUUAAGAGGACUUUUUUUUGUUUGUUUGAAAUGUUUUCCCACCUUGUGUCUCUGGCUUGGAUUAUUCUUGGACGCAUGUAAUUAAUUGGAGGGGCACUCCUAAGUAGGCACAAUUCCCAUUUAAUGUGGAAUAAAAGGCAUAAAAUGCUGUUAUGAAGAAGGGUGGUGGUUUCUUUGAUAUUGUGAAAUGCAAAGAAGGACAGCAGCACAUUUGGAAUGGGAACCAAAAGAGAGCUGUCUGGCAAUACACCAGGACAGCCAACAUCUUGAUAAGUUAUAUAUACACUUGUCUAUGACAAAGGAAAAAGGGUUGGAAGGGUUCCAAUAGCCUCUGGGUUUUUGGAUACGUGCCAAACGGUCACAUAGACCACCCAGAAUCAGCAAAUGUUGGGCAGUUACCUCCUUUAAAGUCACAUAAUUCACUCCAUGACCAUGUGCAAUUUAUGGUAACUAUGUUCAUGCCCAGGCAAUGUAUUUGGGGCUCAGAAAAAGCAAAAUGUGCCACUGAGAGAAUCCUGUUCCCUAUAUAACUGGUCUUCAUGCUUUCAAGUGGCCCUAAUACACCUUGGAUAUUAAGCCAAGCCAUGCAAAAGCAAAGAGCACACACUUUUCAUUAACACUGGUAUCUCAUUUCUAAACCACUGACCUCAGAGUUGCCAUAGAAACAUAUUAACACGAGUACUGAAAGCAUACAACUGAGAGUUCAUGGAUUUCUAAGAAAUGCAUUUCCCUCGUCUAUGUUCAUCAGCCUUUAAUACUUUGGCUACAAGGCAUAUCAGAGAAAGGGAGGUUAAAUUGGGUAAUGACAAAAGAACAUACGUAAUGUUCCAGAAAUGGGAUCAAUGUGCCAGCAAUAAGCAUAGUUCAUUUCAUUUGAAAAUUCAGUUAAAGAGCCCAAUAAACAGUUCCAAACCAUUUUAUCACCUGCAUAAUUUACAUAAACAUUAAAACACUUGCACUUUAUAGACAAAACACACUUUUGUAAACAUGGCCACUGGGGGAGAGAGGCUCCCUACCUCAUUCAUGAUUGAGGACAUGUGAUCAUUUAUAUUAAAUAAAGUUAUUUCACUGCAAAAGAUCUCAAACCUGACCAAUGAUUAAGCUUUAUUUCCCCCUGUUUAACAACAUUUAAGUAUUAAUUCUAAAAAUGUCACCUAGGAUGGUUUCAGGGUUAGAUGCUAGGACCACAACUGGUAAUGACAGCAACUUCUCUCUAGCUGGCACAGACCUAUAAACUUUAGUACAAAAACAAAAAAAUACAGAAACUAGGUCAAUUUGUUAGCUACAUAUUUACAGAUAAUUACAUGAUUUUUCACUCACAAGUGCUAAAUACUUUGAGUGAAACAAAACUGUGCAGGUUGAAUUACCCGUACUUUGGGGGGAAUUCUGGGCAUCAAGAUACCCUUUUUCAUUCAUUUAAAAGUCUCAUCUUCUCUCCACUUUUUCAUGACAAACUACCUACAGAUGUUCAGAUUAGUAUAUCCAGUGGGCAUCCUGGUGUUUCAGUGAGGAUUAACCUUUUUCUCUACUUAAAGAAUUCCUUGUAUAUUUAAAAACAAAACAAUACAAUACAAUCACACAGACAUAUAUACAAAAAAAAAAAAAAAA